rnacentral:rRNA from 1 species
UACGUAGGGGGCAAGCGUUGUCCGGAAUCAUUGGGCGUAAAGAGCGUGUAGGCGGCUCGGUAAGUCCGCUGUGAAAGUCCAGGGCUCAACCCUGGAAUGCCGGUGGAAACUGUCGAGCUUGAGUCCGGAAGAGGCGAGUGGAAUUCCUGGUGUAGCGGUGAAAUGCGCAGAUAUCAGGAGGAACACCAAUGGCGAAGGCAGCUCGCUGGGACGGUACUGACGCUGAGACGCGAAAGCGUGGGGAGCAAACGGG